rnacentral:rRNA from 1 species
UGGGGAAUAUUGGACAAUGGGCGAAAGCCUGAUCCAGCCAUGCCGCGUGAGUGACGAAGGCCUUAGGGUUGUAAAACUCUUUCGUCGGGGACGAUAAUGACGGUACCCGAAGAAGAAGCUCCGGCUAACUUCGUGCCAGCAGCCGCGGUAAUACGAAGGGAGCUAGCGUUGUUCGGAAUCACUGGGCGUAAAGCGCACGUAGGCGGAUAGUUAAGUCAGGGGUGAAAUCCUGGGGCUCAACCCCAGAACUGCCUUUGAUACUGGCUGUCUCGAGGUCGAGAGAGGUUGGUGGAAUUCCUAGUGUAGAGGUGAAAUUCGUAGAUAUUAGGAAGAACACCGGUGGCGAAGGCGGCCCACUGGAUCGGUACUGACGCUGAGGUGCGAAAGCGUGGGGAGCAAACAGGAUUAGAUACCCCUGUAGUCCCUGAGCGGGCUGGCAAGGCGCAU